AGGAUAAACGCUGGCGGCGUGCCUAACACAUGCAAGUCGAACGCGCUUUCGGGCUUCGGUGCGAGAGCGAGUGGCGGACGGGUGAGUAACACAUGGGUACCUGCCUUUCAGUGAGGGAUACCGGCGAGAAAUCGCCGACAAUACCGCAUGGGCUUGUGGGAACACAAGCAAAGUGGCGCAAGCCACGCUGGAAGAUGGGCCUGUGGCCGAUUAGCUAGUUGGGGGGGUAACGGCCUCCCAAGGCGACGAUCGGUAGCUGGUCUGAGAGGACGAUCAGCCACACUGGGAUUGAGAACGGCCCAGACUCCUACGGGGGCAGCAGUGAGGAAUUUUCCGCAAUGGACGAAAGUCUGACGGAGCAACGCCGCGUGCAGGAGGAAGGUUUCGGAUCGUAAACUGCUUUUCUCGGGGACGAGCAAGGACGGUACCCGAGGAAGAAGCCCCGGCUAACUACGCGCCAGCAGCCGC
rnacentral:rRNA from 1 species